rnacentral:misc_RNA from 1 species
CGAAUAAGCUAGUCUGAAGAAACCCAAAUUCCAAAGAAAACUGCUGGAUAAGAGGGCACUAAAAUCAAAUAAAUUUUAAGUAUUAGUUAAUCAAAACUAUAUUGUGUUGAACCAGAUUUCCAACUUUAUUACUGGCUCAAUAAAAAUUUCAGCUUGGACUAAGUUUGAGUCCACAUGACAGCAGCCAAAAGACCACAUCGGG